GAUCCUGGCUCAGGAUGAACGCUAGCUACAGGCUUAACACAUGCAAGUCGAGGGGAAACGACAUCGAAAGCUUGCUUUUGAUGGGCGUCGACCGGCGCACGGGUGAGUAACGCGUAUCCAACCUGCCCACCACUUGGGGGAUAACCCUUGCGAAAGUAAGACUAAUACCCAAUGAUAUCUCUAGAAGACAUCUGAAAGAGAUUAAAGAUUUAUCGGUGAUGGAUGGGGAUGCGU
rnacentral:rRNA from 1 species